GAUGAACGCUGGCGGCGUACCUAAUACAUGCAAGUCGAACGAAGAUCUAGCUUGCUAGAUCUUAGUGGCGAACGGGUGAGUAAUACGUAAAUAAUCUGCCCAUAUGACUGGGAUAACUAUUGGAAACGAUAGCUAAUACCGGAUAGGUUGAUUGGAGGCAUCUCUGAUUAAUUAAAGUAGGAUUUCUACACAAAUGGAUGAGUUUAUGGCGCAUUAGUUAGUUGGUGGGGUAACGGCCUACCAAGACGAUGAUGCGUAGCCGACCUGAGCGGGUGACCGGCCACACUGGGACUGAGACACGGCCCAGACUCCUACGGGAGGCAGCAGUAGGGAAUUUUCGGCAAUGGGCGCAAGCCUGACCGAGCAACGCCGCGUGAGUGAUUAAGGCCUUCGGGUUGUAAAGCUCUGUUGUAAGGGAAGAACAUUCAGGAUAGGAAAUGAUCUUGAACUGACGGUACCUUACCAGAAAGCCACGGCUAACUACGUGCCAGCAGCCGCGGUAA
rnacentral:rRNA from 1 species